GAGCCUCCGGUGUCUGUUCCCGUGUCUCCAGGAGAAAUGAUGAGACUGUUGGUGAAGCAGCAAGUCCACGCGGCCGUUGAAGAGUCUUUUGGGCUGUUGGACACAUUGACAGCAGCUUAUGAGGACACCUUGUCUCAGUUGAGAGAACAAUGGCGACACACAUCAGAUGUCCAGCAGCUGGUAGGGAUUAAAGCAGAUGUCCCCCCUGAGGACCAGGACCACCCAGAGCCCCUCCACAUAAAAGAGGAGCCGGAGCCCCUCCACAUAAAAGAGGAACCUGAGCCCCGCCACAUAAAAGACCUGCAGGAUCUCUGGACCCGUCUAGAGGGAGAUCAGCUCAUUGUGCUGCAGGAGGCCGAUAUCGCCAAGUUCUCAUUCACUGCUGUUACUUUGGAGAGUGAAGAUGACGAACCUCAGACCUCACAGCUUCAUCAAAGCCAGACGGAGGACGACAGAGAGGCGGAGCCUCCAGCCAGCAGCUCAGCUACACCGAUACAAACAGAAACUGAUGGAGAGGACUGUGGGGGAUCAGGACCAGACAGGAACCUAAAUCCACAUCGUUAUUCACAUCCAAAUGCUGAUGAUGAAGAGGCUUCAGAAUCUUCUGAGACUGAAGCCAGUUGUGGUGAUUGGCAAGAAGCUUUGUCAGAUUCUGGACCUGAAAGUGUAGAUGGGGACAAUGUCUGGAAGGAGACCAGGACACCUAAGUCUGCUGCAGAUGCCUUGAAAUAUAAGGAAGCUCUUGUAAGUCAUGUGGGAUGUAACACUGGCAACAAAUCCAAUGGAUCACUAUCAAAAGUGCUCAUGAGAAAGAAACCAUUCAGUUGUGAUGAGUGUGGGCAAAGAUUUACGCAACAGGGACAACUGAAGUCACACUUGAGAGUCCACACAGGAAAGAAACCAUUCAGUUGUGACGAGUGUGGGAAAAGAUUUACAGUUAAGAACACCAUGGCUCGCCUCUGGGAGAACUGGGGAGGUGGAGGAUGCCAAGAAUGGAGACCCACCCCCGAGGAGAGGAAGGAAGAGGAAGAUGAGGAGCAGGAUACAUGAGGAUGACAGCGGUGAGACUCUUACGUUGUAAUGAAACGUGUGGGCUCCAUGCUGUGUUCUCUCUGGUCUGCUCUGUCUCUGUUGUUUCUCUGUGAUGCAGAGGAGGACCAUGCCGAGCUGGAGGAGGACGAGGCCGAGGAAGAAGCGGCGCACCCCGAUAACGUGGUUACACAGAGUCGUGUAAAUACACAUGCACGAUAGCUUGCAUAGAACUCUAAUUGUUUAUUUAGUGUGGUCCAUGUCCGUCAUGGUCUGCUGGCUGGAAGCAUCAAGCUGAGCCCCACAUGUUGGAUAAAUAGCCUCACUUAGCUCCUUCACUUUAAGGCGUAUAUACAUAUUCUGCAAGGAACAUUAAUUCAUUAUAGGGCAAUAUUAGACAGGUCAUUUGUGAAGUUGCUUUAUUCAGAAACAAACUCACAAAACAUUGAGCUACUAAAUACAAUGAAAAUAGAUUAAUAUGACAGAAGAGCUCCAUAAGCAGGGUUCGUACAGUCCUUGCAAUGCCAAAAGUUUUGGAAAAGUCCUCGAAAUGUGUUAGAUUCAAAUGUUCAUUUACGAUGAGUUUGAAAUAAUUAAUAUGUUUUUUAAAAGAAAGACAUUCAAAAUAUAAGCCGGCAUACGCUCCUUGCAAUUUGUUUUUGUUGUGUAUGAACUAGGGCUGUCAAUAGAUUAAAAAGAAUUAACUAAACUCAAAUAUGUCAUGUUAGAGUGUUACAAUAGCAGGAUCAUUUUAUUUCACCUGCCCAUCCAGGCAAAUUGGUGGAGCCAAAUGUUAUUAAAAACAAAACAAAUAUAUGAUUUCUAAUGGUCCAAAAUAAUGGUAAGUGUAUGAGUGUAUUUCAAAGGAAGCCAUCUGGAGGGCUUUUCUCCCAUCAACCGUGACCAAUUGUCUUCAACGGUUUCUACUUCGAACACGUCUACCUGUCUCUUGGACUCCAUCCCGACGAGGCUGCUUAAAGACGUUUUGCCUUUAAUUGGCGGCUCUCUAUUAGAUAUUAUCAAUGUGUCUCUGCUAACAGGCCACGUACCACACUCCUUCAAAGUGGCUGCUAUUAAACCUCUCCUGAAGAAGCCCACUCUGGAUCCAGAGGUGUUGGCUAACUACAGACCGAUCUCUAACCUCCCUUUCCUCUCCAAGAUCCUUGAGAAAGUGGUCGCAAAUCAGUUGUGCGACUUUCUACAUCAUAAUAGUUUAUUUGAGAAAUUUCAAUCAGGAUUUAGAAAACACCACAGCACCGAGACAGCACUGGUGAAAAUUACAAAUGACCUCUUAAUGGCAUCAGAUAAAGGACUCAUCUCUGUACUGGUCUUGUUAGACCUUAGUGCUGCAUUCGACACCAUUGACCAUGACAUCCUAUUUCAGAGACUGGAGCAGUCGAUUGGCAUUUCAGGCACGGCACUAAUUUGGUUUAAAUCCUAUUUAUCAGAUGACAGAGAUAUAAAUGUAUGUUAUGUUAUUGCUUACCGUAUCUUAAACUCAACAAUCAGAGGAGCUUCCCGAACUCCGCGUUCCCACCCGAAGGUUGUGUUAUGUGUUUGGGGAGUCUGAUAAGGAAGUGAUAAUAAACCAGACGGAAGGAAUAUGUCAACUUGUCCUCAGUUCCACUUCUCCUUUGUUGUUGUGUUAUGUGUUUGGGGAGUCUGAUAAGGAAGUGAUAAUAAACCAGACGGAAGGAAUAUGUCAACUUGUCCUCAGUUCCACUUCUCCUUUGUUGUUGUGUGUGUGUGUGAUAAGCUUUCAAUAAAAGGCUGGACCAAAGGGGUGCUCGGCGGAAUGUCUUGGAGGUCGUCGUGUUCAGAGCAUAGGCGACUGAGCUUCCCCUUUGGCCAAAGCUUUGGUCAAAGAUA